rnacentral:rRNA from 1 species
CAGAGGGGCUAGCGUUGUUCGGAAUUACUGGGCGUAAAGGGCGCGUAGGCGGCCCGCUAAGUCGAACGUGAAAUCCCCGGGCUCAACCCGGGAACUGCGUCCGAUACUGGCGGGCUUGAAUCCGGGAGAGGGAUGUGGAAUUCCAGGUGUAGCGGUGAAAUGCGUAGAUAUCUGGAGGAACACCGGUGGCGAAGGCGGCAUCCUGGACCGGUAUUGACGCUGAGGCGCGAAAGCCAGGGGAGCAAACGGGAUUAGAUACCCCGGUAGUCCUGGCCCUAAACGAUGAAUGCUUGGUGUGGCGGGUAUCGAUCCCUGCCGUGCCGAAGCUAACGCAUUAAGCAUUCCGCCUGGGGAGUACGGUCGCAAGGCUG